UCAUAAGUUCAAGUCGGGGCUGCAAGCCUUCGUCUACACCCAUGUCUUUUGAGUACCUUCUGUUUCCUCGGUGGUCGCAGCCGCCGAUUGGACAAACUCAAACCCUUUUGUCAGUUGCAAUCAGCGUCUGAAAAUAAUCUAAUAGUUA
rnacentral:misc_RNA from 1 species